UCCGUAGGUGAACCUGCGGAAGGAUCAUUAUCGUGGGGCUCCGGCCCCGUCGAGAUAGCACCCUUGCCUUUACAGUACCGCCCGUUUCCUCGGCAGGCUCGCCUGCCAAUGGGGACAACAAAACACCCUGAUACCACCUGUAACCGUCUGAUAAAACAAACAAAAAUCAAAACUUUCAACAACGGAUCUCUUGGUUCUGGCAUCGAUGAAGAACGCAACGAAAUGCGAUAAGUAGUGUGAAUUGCAGAAUUCAGUGAAUCAUCGAAUCUUUGAACGCACAUUGCGCCCCCCGGUAUUCCGGCGGGCAUGCCUGUUCGAGCGUCAUUUCAACCCUCAAGCUCUGCUUGGUAUUGGGGGAUAGGCCCCGUUGGGGCCUCCCCAGAAAAUUAGCGACGGUGCUCCUGAGAGUCCCAGCGUAGUGACUUUUAAAUCUCGCUGUCAAGGACGUCAGUUGCUUCUGUCGGAAAUUAUUAUUUUUUCAAUGGUUGACCUCGGAUCAGGUAGGGAUACCCGCUGAACUUAA
rnacentral:rRNA from 1 species